rnacentral:rRNA from 1 species
GAUGAACGCUGGCGGCGUGCUUAACACAUGCAAGUCGAACGAUAAAGCCCAGCUUGCUGGGUGGAUUAGUGGCGAACGGGUGAGUAACACGUGAGUAACCUGCCCUUGACUCUGGGAUAAGCCCGGGAAACUGGGUCUAAUACCGGAUAGGAGCGCCUGUCGCAUGACGGGUGUUGGAAAGAUUUUUCGGUCAUGGAUGGACUCGCGGCCUAUCAGCUUGUUGGUGAGGUAAUGGCUCACCAAGGCGACGACGGGUAGCCGGCCUGAGAGGGUGACCGGCCACACUGGGACUGAGACACGGCCCAGACUCCUACGGGAGGCAGCAGUGGGGAAUAUUGCACAAUGGGCGGAAGCCUGAUGCAGCGACGCCGCGUGAGGGAUGACGGCCUUCGGGUUGUAAACCUCUUUCAGUAGGGAAGAAGCGAAAGUGACGUACCUGCAGAG